UAUGGGGGGGGCAAGCGUUGUUCGGAAUUACUGGGCGUAAAGGGCUCGUAGGCGGCCAACUAAGUCAGACGUGAAAUCCCUCGGCUUAACCGGGGAACUGCGUCUGAUACUGGAUGGCUUGAGUUUGGGAGAGGGAUGCGGAAUUCCAGGUGUAGCGGUGAAAUGCGUAGAUAUCUGGAGGAACACCGGUGGCGAAGGCGGCAUCCUGGACCAACACUGACGCUGAGGAGCGAAAGCCAGGGGAGCAAACGGG
rnacentral:rRNA from 1 species